rnacentral:lncRNA from 1 species
GACGAUUUUGAUUUCUCUGAGUUACAAUUUUCUGGUUUAAGAUAAUGCAGGCUACAUUACGUAAAGAUGCCAAUCCAGAGCUUGCCUGUGCUAUUGAUACAUGGAGUCUAGGUUGUACUGUAAUUGAAAUGUUUAGUGGACAGUCCUCUUGGAACGGAUUAGACGGGGUAAGCCGCGUUAACAAACUUUGAGCCUAUUAGUUUGUCACAUGGUAGUAUCAUAGCCAAAGACGCUAUGUUUCUCGGACUCUCCAAAAAUGCUAAUGCACUAUUUUUGAAGGAUCCAACAUACACCCCCACACUGUUUUUGAAGAGUCCGAGAAGCAUAGCUAAGAAGGAACAAGCAAGAAAAAUCAUGGACAAUAUUUUUUUGAUUCCAAAUUUGAUGUAUAAACAAUCAUGUAUUUCAUUUUGUAGGUGAAAGCAAAUCACCACCUGUACUAGAAACGUCAUCUCCGGAAGGAAAGAAUUUUCUUCGGUGCUACUUUCAGAGAAAACCUGCAGAUAGGCCUACAUUUUUUAUGCUACUUGAGCAUCCUUUCUUAAGUAAUACUAAUUUGCAUAAACAUAGUGCUACUGUUUUAGGUUCCUCAGAAGAUUUUUUACGGAUGAAAUGAGAACUGUGGUUUUUAACAUAUCGAACAAGAAUGUACUUUUAAGAAAGUGUAUUUUUUAAAGUGUAGCCUUCCCUACUCAACUGACUCUAUGGCACAGGUAAACAUAGCAAUGUCCAUAGAGUUACAGUGGAGUGACAGUCGGAGCAUGUGGUCUUAUUAGUUUGAGUCAACAGAGGUAAACAAUUGUGGAAUGUUAGUUUAGAAUAUUACUACUGCUCCGUUUCUAGUUUUUGUCCUUUUAUGAUUGUAGAUGUUUUUAGUUUUUUAUUGAUAUAUAUUAUUUUAUGAGAUCUGUACGUUGUUUGAUUUACAUAAUUUCUGAAUAGGAUGUUAAAACAAAUAGACAUAUGAUAAACUAAUAUAAUAUAAAAUGCAUAAUAAUAAGGGUUAUGGGCUAAUUUUGUUUGUUUCUAUGUGAAUGUACCACCAAAUGAUUGUGGCCCUGGAUGAAUUAAAUCACCAUUGCGGAAUUUCAGCUUUCUUAGGGAUCCCUAAGUUCAUACUGAUUUCUGUGGAUGAUAUAGGGGAAGGAAGGUUGACUGCUUUGAGAUCCCAGUAGAUUUGAUUGGAGAACCUCUUGAAAAGUUAUUACGUGCAACAUAGAGAUUCACUAAGCCAUUGAUUGGUAUUAGAUAAUUAGUUUUGAUAAUGUAGUUGCAUGAUUGGAUUGGGUCAUAAUGAUUAGAGUGAAUUAUGUGUUUAGCGAUUGACCGGAGUAGUAAGGAUAAAAUCAAUGUACUCAUGGUGGAGUUAAGUACAUUUGUAUGGCAUAACUAAGCUUUUCCAACCAAAUGAUAUGCAAACAUUUUUUCUUAGCACUGUAAAGGUUCUCCAUUGAUCUUUUUUCUUAAUUGUUGGCAGCAGUAUGAUUACUUGUAAAUUUAUGUUUGUGUAAAUUAUUAUUGGCUUAAUUAACUUUAUGCUUCAAUAAAAGAGCAUUGUUCCACUGUUUGCAAGAACAUAGGAAGAUAAUUCAAGAAUUGUGGAGUUUCAACCCCGCUACUUUGUUA